rnacentral:rRNA from 1 species
ACAGCCAGCCAUGCCACCCUGAACAAACCCGACCCCAUCUGAUCUCAGAAACUAAGCAGGGUCGGGCUCGGUUAGCACUCGGAUGCGAGACUACUUAGGAAGACCAGGUGCUGUAAGCA